rnacentral:lncRNA from 1 species
CGUCACCCCUAUAUACGCUGAAUCUUGAUUUGUGUUCAUGUCUGUCAUGGAUAUCCUAUAUACUCCUUUCUUCUCCUUCUCAUCCAGUUGGUCUUUAUCGUUCCUCAUAAGGGUAUAUAUAGGGGUGACGUCGGGGUCAUUGGGAGUGCAGCUGGACGAGCAUAGAAGUGACGUCUUGGAGGGGAGAGCGGGCACGGCCUUGGCGGCUGAAGCGUGUAGCGGCGGUCUCUGUGUGGGGUGGGAGGAGGCUAAUUGUGUUGAGUCGCUGGGGAGGCAUGUGAGGCCUACGAUGAUGGAAUCUUUGGGAGUUCUAGG